CAGAGUUUACAGCUCCCAAACCCAAAUGUGAACAUACCAAUCGUUGCUUCGGCGGACUCGUCCCGGCGUCCGGGUGGCCUUGCGCUGCCCGCGGCCCGGAUCCAGGCGGCCGCCGGAGAUCAUCAAACUCUUUGUAUUACAAGUAUCUUCUGAAUCCGCCGCAAGGCAAAACAAAUGAAUCA
rnacentral:misc_RNA from 1 species